GCCGAGGUGGCGGAACGGUAGACGCGGCGGACUUAAAAUCCGCUUCCCUGGGAAGGGAGUGUGGGUUCGAGUCCCUCCCUCGGCACUA
rnacentral:tRNA from 1 species